CCACCCUUUAUAUGUGGUUUCUAAUCCGGGACAGGACGAUCUUCCACCCGGUUCCUCUAGCGGCUCUGCUCCAGCUUCAGUCUGAGGCUCAUCAGGAGAGCAGCAGCGCCGACUAUGUGGAGUCAAACUGCAUGAGUCGCCUUGACUCUGAAAGUUUGGAUUUGAGGGCUGCAUGGAAACAGUCAACACAAUCCCAACAAAGUAGAACUGAAGCAGUACAUACAUGUUCUUUUAUAGUUUUGAUGUCUGUAGUAUUAAUGUAUCAUGCUGAAAAGAAUACAAAUAAAGUAAACCCACUAAAAGA